ensembl:lncRNA
CCUGUGUAGUUCAGGCACAGUGACGUCACUCGGGUCAGAGAUUCCGGAGAUUUUUGCGGCGUAAAAAAAACCAAAGGAGGCGAGCCUGGACGAAGAAAGUUUCUCCUUCCUGCGUGACUGCGGAGCGGGAGUUUGCAUACCUCACCGCGCAACUUUCCACGAAGCUUUUCGAGUGUUUCUUAGUGAGCUAGCUAAGGUCUGUUUCUCUGAUCCAGGAUGACCACCAAAAGUGCUGUCAGGCCCGAUGAAGGCCUGAUGAUGAUGCAGGAGCUUGAUGACCGCCUGAAAGAGCAGAUUGACAAACUGGAGCAUGUUCGUCUCGCUGCUGUUGAACUGAAGGAUAACUUGUCUGGGAGCAACAGUGAUCUAAGCCAGUCUAUCAGUGACCAUUUGGAGUGGCUGAAUCACCUGUCUGAGCGAGUUGAAACUCUUCACAUGAACACAACUGUUUUUAUUCAGAUGAAUCCAAAACCUCGUGCAUGGGCAGGAAAACAGAGUUCCAAAUAUGGGUACCGCUGGGGUCGUCUCCACCAAGCAGAUGAUGCUCUGUCAGAGUUUGGCUGGUCCCCCAUUCGCACACGACGUGGCAGCGAUGCGGCCUCUGAAAUGUCCUGUAAUUGGUGACCGUGUAACCAGCUCCAUAUGUCAGCUGAGGUUUCAAAAUAACAUGACUGUUUCACAUUUUGUUAUAGCUACAGUUUUCAUGGAUUUAAUACUUUUCUGUGGUUUUGUUCUGCUGUGUACUAUGUUACUGAACACCCUGUAUUGUUAUUAAAACCAUGGCUUUUUAAUUUUGGUUACCUUUGGGUAAGAUUCUCUCUUCUCAGCUCUGUCUUUUAGCAACUUGAACAUUUUUACAUAGUUAAACUCUCUAAACAUUUUUGAUAUAUUGCAAAGUAGGAAAUUUGUUACUUUAUUAAGUUUAUAAGUUAUGUUUCAAAAACUGUAAAUAGUGCGAUGACUUCACUCUUGUUUCGGCUGCUCUCUUUAGGGAUCAUCUACUUCCAUCUCAAACAUCCUAUGUCAUUCCACAACUUACCAUAACUUGUCUCCUUAUUAUUCACUCUUGUAUUCUGUCUUCUACUGACUUUAAUUCUUUAUGGAAAUCUUGUUCUCAAUGAUUCACAUGUUUGAUUCGGCAAAGAUUUUAUUUAUCCGGGCUUUGAGACCGGCAAUAGGGGUACACUGGCUUGUGUGGUGACUUCACACAAAUCUCGUAACAACAAUAUAGGGGCACUUCGGUUUGUGUCCGUGUCUGAUGCAAGGUGCUCUUUAACCGUGAAAUCACCGCACGCUUUGGCCAGC